UCCCAGUUCGGAUUGUAGGCUGCAACCCGCCUACAUGAAGUUGGAAUUGCUAGUAAUCGCAGAUCAGAAUGCUGCGGUGAAUACGUUCCCGGGCCUUGUACACACCGCCCGUCACACCAUGGGAGCCGGUAAUACCCGAAGUCAGUAGUCUAACCGCAAGGGGGACGCUGCCGAAGGUAGGAUUGGCGACUGGGGUGAAGUCGUAACAAGGUAGC
rnacentral:rRNA from 1 species